CCUACGGGAGGCUGCAGUGAGGAAUAUUGGUCAAUGGGCGAGAGCCUGAACCAGCCAAGUCGCGUGAAGGAUGACGGCCCUCCGGGUUGUAAACUCUUUUUGCCAGGGAGAAAUUGGGUCCACGCGUGGGCUUAGCGAGAGUACCUGAAGAAAAAGCAUCGGCUAACUCCGUGCCAGCAGCCGCGGUAAUACGGAGGAUGCAGGGGGUAUCCGGAUUUAUUGGGUUUAAGGGGUGCGUAGGCGGAAUAUCAAGUCAGCGGUAAAAAUUCGGGGCUCAACCCCGUCGUGCCGUUGAAACUGAUGUUCUUGAGUGGGCGAGAGGUAUGCGGAAUGCGUGGUGUAGCGGUGAAAUGCGUAGAUAUCACGCAGAACUCCGAUUGCGAAGGCAGCAUACCGGCGCCCAACUGACGCUGAAGCACGAAAGCGUGGGUAUCGAACAGGAUUAGAUACCCUGGUAGUC
rnacentral:rRNA from 1 species